rnacentral:tRNA from 1 species
UCCUAGGUGGCUCAGCAGUAGAGAAUCUGCCUGCAAGGUAGGAGACUUGGGUUUGAUUCCUGGGUUGGGAA